GAUGAACGCUGGCGGCGUGCCUAAUACAUGCAAGUCGAGCGAACAGACGAGGAGCUUGCUCCUCUGACGUUAGCGGCGGACGGGUGAGUAACACGUGGAUAACCUACCUAUAAGACUGGGAUAACUUCGGGAAACCGGAGCUAAUACCGGAUAAUAUAUUGAACCGCAUGGUUCAAUAGUGAAAGACGGUUUUGCUGUCACUUAUAGCUGGAUCCGCGCCGCAUUAGCUAGUUGGUAAGGUAACGGCUUACCAAGGCAACGAUGCGUAGCCGACCUGAGAGGGGGAUCGGCCACACUGGAACUGAGACACGGUCCAGACUCCUACGGGAGGCAGCAGUAGGGAAUCUUCCGCAAUGGGCGAAAGCCUGACGGAGCAACGCCGCGUGAGUGAUGAAGGUCUUCGGAUCGUAAAACUCUGUUAUUAGGGAAGAACAAAUGUGUAAGGAACUAUGCACGUCUUGACGGUACCUAAUCAGAAAGCAACGGCUAACUACGUG
rnacentral:rRNA from 1 species